rnacentral:rRNA from 1 species
AGCGAACGCUGGCGGCAUGCCUAACACAUGUAAGUCGAACGAGACCUUCGGGUCUAGUGGCGCACGGGUGCGUAACGCGUGGGAACCUGCCCUUAGGUUCGGAAUAACUCCCCGAAAGGGGUGCUAAUACCGGAUAAUGUCUUCGGACCAAAGAUUUAUCGCCUUUGGAUGGGCCCGCGUUGGAUUAGCUAGUUGGUAGGGUAAAAGCCUACCAAGGCGACGAUCCAUAGCUGGUCUGAGAGGAUGAUCAGCCACACUGGGACUGAGACACGGCCCAGACUCCUACGGGAGGCAGCAGUGGGGAAUAUUGGACAAUGGGCGAAAGCCUGAUCCAGCAAUGCCGCGUGAGUGAUGAAGGCCUUAGGGUUGUAAAGCUCUUUUACCCGGGAUGAUAAUGACAGUACCGGGAGAAUAAGCUCCGGCUAACUCCGUG